rnacentral:tRNA from 1 species
GGGGGUGUCGCCAAGUGGUAAGGCUGUGGACUUUGACUCCGCCAUUCGUAGGUUCGAAAUCCUCGCCUACCCA